rnacentral:rRNA from 1 species
GACAGAGGGUGCAACCGUUGUUCGGAAUUACUGGGCGUAAAGCGCGUGUAGGCGGUCUGUAAAGUCGGGUGUGAAAGCCCCGGGCUCAACCCGGGAAGUGCACUCGAAACUCACAGGCUAGAGUAUCGGAGAGGUUGGUGGAAUUCUCGGUGUAGAGGUGAAAUUCGUAGAUAUCGAGAGGAACACCGGUGGCGAAGGCGGCCAACUGGACGAAUACUGACGCUGAGACUCGAAAGCGUGGGGAGCAAACAGG